rnacentral:tRNA from 2 species
UCCGACGCUUUAGUCCACUCAGCCAUCUCUCC